UAAUUAUUUAUUGCUAUGUAACACAUUACCUUUAGACUAAGUGGUUUAAAGCAACAAUUUAUUAUCUGUUGGUCAGAAUUUAGGGAUGGUUUAGCUGGAUCCUCUGGCUAAGCUCCAUCUCCUAGGUGAGGGUCUUUAAAAAGCCUGCAUUCAAGAUGUGGACCAAAGCUACAGCUGUCUUGUUAAAUCUUCGUUGGCUGUUGUCUGAAGGCUGCCCUCAGCUCCUUUCCACAUGGGCCUCUCAGCAUGAUGGCUGACAGUAUGGUAGCUUGUAUCAUCAGAAUAAGCAAGCAGGGACAAUGUGAGCAAGACACAGAAGCUCCAGUCUUUUGUAAUUGAGUGGUUGUCAUAUCAAAGGCUGAACAUACUUUCUUCAGUUAUAUCGUUGUCUUUGCAAAGUGAAUCUUCUAAAUGAAGAAAAUAAGAUACAUUGAAAAUUGCAUAGAAAACUAUUUGUUUUUCAGCUUAACUUGGUUUUCUUGAAAAUUAUAUUUUUGCCUACAAAUUCUCUCCUGGGGAGAAAAUAGUUUUGUUUCCAAGGGAAUUCUAAGCCUAAUGAUGGACAAUAAAGCUUCCUACACAUAUCACCAGGAGGAUCUCUUUGAAAGAUUCACUGCAGGACUACCAGAGAGAAUAAUUUGUACUUUGUUUUUAGGUGUAGGGCUUCAUUCCGCUAGGAAAAAUAGUUAAUUAUUUUUAUAACCUGCUGUCUUUGCCACAACUUAGCAUGACAGUUUUCUAUCUCUGUGUAUUUAAUACAGAACAAGCUUGUCCAACCCACAGUGGAUUUGGUGCAUGUGCCAGAUUGGAGUUAAGAUAUUUCAAUGAGCUGUUUAUUUAUGAUUUUUCCUUCUUGUGAUGUCUUUCAGGUUAUCAAGGUUUGGACUGUUCAGCUCUUUUUUUUUCUCAUGUCAAUUUUGGUGAGACGUGUUUUUCAAAGCAUGUGUUCAUUUUAUCAGCAUGUUCAAAUGUUCUAGCUUAAAAUUGUUCUUAGUGCCAUUUUAUUUUCUUCUCCAUACUUGUAUAUCUAUAGUAAUGUCUCCUUUUUCAUUCUUAAUAUUGGUUGUGUUUUCUCCUUUUAUC
rnacentral:lncRNA from 10 species